UGCAGUCGAGCGGAACGAGUUAUCUGAACCUUCGGGGAACGAUAACGGCGUCGAGCGGCGGACGGGUGAGUAAUGCCUGGGAAAUUGCCCUGAUGUGGGGGAUAACCAUUGGAAACGAUGGCUAAUACCGCAUAAUAGCUUCGGCUCAAAGAGGGGGACCUUCGGGCCUCUCGCGUCAGGAUAUGCCCAGGUGGGAUUAGCUAGUUGGUGAGGUAAAGGCUCACCAAGGCAACGAUCCCUAGCUGGUCUGAGAGGAUGAUCAGCCACACUGGAACUGAGACACGGUCCAGACUCMUACGGGAGGCAGCAGUGGGGAAUAUUGCACAAUGGGCGCAAGCCUGAUGCAGCCAUGCCGCGUGUAUGAAGAAGGCCUUCGGGUUGUAAAGUACUUUCAGCAGUGAGGAAGGCGGAUACGUUAAUAGCGUAUUCGUUUGACGUUAGCUGCAGAAGAAGCACCGGCUAACUCCGUGC
rnacentral:rRNA from 1 species